AGGACGAACGCUGGCGGCGUGCUUAACACAUGCAGGUCGAGCGGAAAGGCCUUUCGGGGUACUCGAGCGGCGAACGGGUGAGUAACACGUGAGUAAUCUGCCCAUCGCUUCAGGAUAGCCAUCGGAAACGGUGAUUAAUACUGGAUAUGACAUUCCUUCGCAUGUUGGGGUGUGGAAAGUUUUUCGGCGGUGGAUGUGCUCGCGGCCUAUCAGCUUGUUGGUGGGGUAAUGGCCUACCAAGGCCUUGACGGGUAGCCGGCCUGAGAGGGUGACCGGCCACACUGGGACUGAGACACGGCCCAGACUCCUACGGGAGGCAGCAGUGGGGAAUAGUUGGACAAU
rnacentral:rRNA from 1 species